AUUGAACGCUGGCGGCAUGCCUAACACAUGCAAGUCGAACGGUAACAGGUCCCGUAGCAAUACGGGAUGCUGACGAGUGGCGGACGGGUGAGUAAUGCGUAGGAAUUUACCUCAAAGCGGGGGAUAGCCCGGAGAAAUCCGGAUUAAUACCGCAUGUGCUCUACGGAGGAAAGCGGGCCUCUACUUGUAAGCUCGCACUUUGAGAUAAGCCUACGUCGGAUUAGCUAGUUGGUAGGGUAAAGGCCUACCAAGGCGACGAUCCGUAGCUGGUUUGAGAGGAUGAUCAGCCACACUGGGACUGAGACACGGCCCAGACGCCUCCGGGAGGAAGCAGUGGGGAAUAUUGGACAAUGGGCGAAAGCCUGAUCCAGCAAUGCCGCGUGUGUGAAGAAGGCCUGCGGGUUGUAAAGCACUUUUAUCAGGAAAGAAAAUCUCGGGGCUAAUAUCCCCGGGCCUUGACGGUACCUGAUGAAUAAGCACCGGCUAACUCCGUGCCAGCAGCCGCCGUAACAC
rnacentral:rRNA from 1 species